UACGUAGGGUGCAAGCGUUGUCCGGAAUUAUUGGGCGUAAAGAGCUCGUAGGCGGUUUGUUGCGUCGGCUGUGAAAACCUGAGGCUCAACCUCAGGCCUGCAGUCGAUACGAGCAGACUAGAGUGUUGCAGGGGAGACUGGAAUUCCUGGUGUAGCGGUGAAAUGCGCAGAUAUCAGGAGGAACACCGGUGGCGAAGGCGGGUCUCUGGGCAACAACUGACGCUGAGGAACGAAAGCGUGGGGAGCGAACAGG
rnacentral:rRNA from 1 species